rnacentral:rRNA from 1 species
UGACUGCGUACCUUUUGUAUAAUGGGUCAGCGACUUAUAUUCUGUAGCAAGGUUAACCGUUUAGGGGAGCCGCAGGGAAACCGAGUCUUAACUGGGCGUUCAGUUGCAGGGUAUAGACCCGAAACCCGGUGAGCUAGCCAUGGGCAGGUUGAAGGUUGGGUAACACUAACUGGAGGACCGAACCGACUAAUGUUGAAAAAUUAGCGGAUGACUUGUGGCUGGGGGUGAAAGGCCAAUCAAACCGGGAGAUAGCUGGUUCUCCCCGAAAGCUAUUUAGGUAGCGCCUCGUGAAUUCAUCUCCGGGGGUAGAGCACUGUUUCGGCUAGGGGGUCAUCCCGACUUACCAACCCGAUGCAAACUGCGAAUACCGGAGAAUGUUAUCACGGGAGACACACGGCGGGUGCUAACGUCCGUCGUGGAGAGGGAAACAACCCAGACCGCCAGCUAAGGUCCCCAAGUCAUGGUUAAGUGGGAAACGAAGUGGGAAGGCUCAGACAGCCAGGAUGUUGGCUUAGAAGCAGCCAUCAUUUAAAGAAAGCGUAAUAGCUCACUGGUCGAGUCGGCCUGCGCGGAAGAUGUAACGGGGCUAAACCAUGCACCGAAGCUGCGGCAGCGAUAUAAAUAUAUUGUUGGGUAGGGGAGCGUUCUGUAAGCCGGUGAAGGUGGGUCGUGAGGCCUGCUGGAGGUAUCAGAAGUGCGAAUGCUGACAUAAGUAACGAUAAAGCGGGUGAAAAACCCGCUCGCCGGAAGACCAAGGGUUCCUGUCCAACGUUAAUCGGGGCAGGGUGAGUCGACCCCUAAGGCGAGGCCGAAAGGCGUAGUCGAUGGGAAACAGGUUAAUAGUCCUGUACUCGGUGUUACUGCGAAGGGGGGACGGAGAAGGCUAGGCCGGCCGGGCGACGGUUUGUCCCGGUUGAAGCGUGUAGGUGGGGUGACCUGGCAAAUCCGGUCAUCCAUAACACUGAGGCGUGAUAACGAGCCACUGCGGUGGUGAAGUGGUUGAUGCCCUGCUUCCAGGAAAAGCCUCUAAGCAUCAGGUAACAUUGAAUCGUACCCCAAACCGACACAGGUGGUCAGGUAGAGAAUACUCAGGCGCUUGAGAGAACUCGGGUGAAGGAACUAGGCAAAAUGGUGCCGUAACUUCGGGAGAAGGCACGCUGGCGUUAGGUGAAGGGCCGUGCGCCCGGAGCUGAAGCCAGUCGCAGAGACCAGCUGGCUGCAACUGUUUAAUAAAAACACAGCACUGUGCCAACACGAAAGUGGACGUAUACGGUGUGACGCCUGCCCGGUGCUGGAAGGUUAAUUGAUGGGGUUAGCGGCAACGCGACGCUCCUGAUCGAAGCCCCAGUAAACGGCGGCCGUAACUAUAACGGUCCUAAGGUAGCGAAAUUCCUUGUCGGGUAAGUUCCGACCUGCACGAAUGGCGUAAUGAUGGCCAGGCUGUCUCCACCCGAGACUCAGUGAAAUUGAACUCGCUGUGAAGAUGCAGUGUACCCGCGGCAAGACGGAAAGACCCCGUGAACCUUUACUAUAGCUUGACACUGAACAUGGAGCCUUGAUGUGUAGGAUAGGUGGGAGGCUUUGAAGUGUGGACGCCAGUCUGCAUGGAGCCAUCCUUGAAAUACCACCCUUGAAUGUUUGAUGUUCUAACGUGGGCCCGUUAUCCGGGUUGCGGACAGUGUCUGGUGGGUAGUUUGACUGGGGCGGUCUCCUCCCAAAGCGUAACGGAGGAGCACGAAGGUUGGCUAAUCACGGUCGGACAUCGUGAGGUUAGUGCAAAGGCAUAAGCCAGCUUGACUGCGAGCGUGACGGCGCGAGCAGGUACGAAAGUAGGUCUUAGUGAUCCGGUGGUUCUGUAUGGAAGGGCCAUCGCUCAACGGAUAAAAGGUACUCCGGGGAUAACAGGCUGAUACCGCCCAAGAGUUCAUAUCGACGGCGGUGUUUGGCACCUCGAUGUCGGCUCAUCACAUCCUGGGGCUGAAGUAGGUCCCAAGGGUACGGCUGUUCGCCGUUUAAAGUGGUACGCGAGCUGGGUUUAGAACGUCGUGAGACAGUUCGGUCCCUAUCUGCCGUGGGCGCUGGAAGAUUGAAAGGGGCUGCUCCUAGUACGAGAGGACCGGAGUGGACGCACCACUGGUGUUCGGGUUGUCAUGCCAAUGGCAUUGCCCGGUAGCUACGUGCGGCAGAGAUAACCGCUGAAAGCAUCUAAGCGGGAAACUUGCCUUAAGAUGAGUCUUCCCUUGUCCCAGAGAGGACACAUAAGGAACGUUCGAGACGAGGACGUGGAUAGGCCGGGUGUGUAAGCGUAGCGAUACGUUGAGCUAACCGGUACUAAUGCUCCGAGAGGCUUAACC